rnacentral:tRNA from 1 species
GGGGGCUUAGGUUAACACUUAAACCAAAAACCUUCAAAGCUUUAAAUAGGAGUGAAAAUCUCCUAGCCCCCG